UGGAUCCAGACUUUGAUUCUGGCUCAGGAUGAACGCUAGCUACAGGCUUAACACAUGCAAGUCGAGGGGCAGCGGGAUUGAAGCUUGCUUCAAUUGCCGGCGACCGGCGCACGGGUGAGUAACGCGUAUCCAACCGUGGGGACACUCAGGGAUAGCCUUUCGAAAGAAAGAUUAAUACCUGAUGGUAUGAUGAGAUUGCAUGAUAGCAUCGUUAAAGGUUUAUCGGUGUACGAUGGGGAUGCGUUCCAUUAGGUAGUAGGCGGGGUAACGGCCCACCUAGCCAACGAUGGAUAGGGGUUCUGAGAGGAAGGUCCCCCACAUUGGAACUGAGACACGGUCCAAACUCCUACGGGAGGCAGCAGUGAGGAAUAUUGGCCAAUGGACGAGAGUCUGAACCAGCCAAGUAGCGUGAAGGAUGAAGGUCCUACGGAUUGUAAACUUCUUUUAUAAGGGAAUAAACCCUCCCACGUGUGGGAGCUUGUAUGUACCUUAUGAAUAAGCAUCGGCUAACUCCGUGCCAGCAGCCGCGGUAAUACGGAGGAUGCGAGCGUUAUCCGGAUUUAUUGGGUUUAAAGGGAGCGCAGACGGGUCGUUAAGUCAGCUGUGAAAGUUUGGGGCUCAACCUUAAAAUUGCAGUUGAUACUGGCGUCCUUGAGUGCGGUUGAGGUGUGCGGAAUUCGUGGUGUAGCGGUGAAAUGCUUAGAUAUCACGAAGAACUCCGAUUGCGAAGGCAGCACACUAAUCCGUAACUGACGUUCAUGCUCGAAAGUGUGGGUAUCAAACAGGAUUAGAUACCCUGGUAGUCCACACGGUAAACGAUGGAUACUCGCUGUUGGCGAUAUACUGUCAGCGGCUUAGCGAAAGCGUUAAGUAUCCCACCUGGGGAGUACGCCGGCAACGGUGCAACUCAAAGGAAUUGACGGA
rnacentral:rRNA from 1 species